rnacentral:piRNA from 1 species
AGAAGAAAGUGAACGCUGGCC